rnacentral:rRNA from 1 species
GACGAACGCUGGCGGCGUGCUUAACACAUGCAAGUCGAACGGUAAGGCCCUUCGGGGUACACGAGUGGCGAACGGGUGAGUAACACGUGGGUGAUCUGCCCUGCACUUCGGGAUAAGCCUGGGAAACUGGGUCUAAUACCGGAUAGGACUCCUGGCUUCAUGGUUGGGGGUGGAAAGCUUUUGCGGUGUGGGAUGGGCCCGCGGCCUAUCAGCUUGUUGGUGGGGUAAUGGCCUACCAAGGCGACGACGGGUAGCCGGCCUGAGAGGGUGACCGGUCACACUGGGACUGAGAUACGGCCCAGACUCCUACGGGAGGCAGCAGCGGGGAAUAUUGCACAAUGGGCGCAAGCCUGAUGCAGCGACGCCGCGUGAGGGAUGACGGCCUUCGGGUUGUAAACCUCUUUCAGCUAUGACGAAGCGCAAGUGACGGUAGUAGCAGAAGAAGGACCGGCCAACUACGUGCCAGCCGCCGCGGUAAGAC